GAAGAGUUUGAUCAUGGCUCAGAUUGAACGCUGGCGGCAGGCCUAACACAUGCAAGUCGAACGGUAACAGAAAGAGCUUGCUCUUUGCUGACGAGUGGCGCACGGGUGCGUAACGCGUAUGCAACUUACCCUUAACAGGGGGAUAGCCUUCCGAAAGGAAGAAUAAUACCCCAUAGUAUUUCAAAGAGGCAUCUCUUUGUUCUUAAAACUCCGGUGGUUAAGGAUAGGCAUGCGUCCUAUUAGCUAGUUGGUAAGGUAAUGGCUUACCAAGGCUACGAUAGGUAGGGGGCCUGAGAGGGUUGUCCCCCACACUGGUACUGAGACACGGACCAGACUCCUACGGGAGGCAGCAGUGAGGAAUAUUGGUCAAUGGACGAAAGUCUGAACCAGCCAUGCCGCGUGCAGGAUGAAUGCCCUGGUUGUAAACUGCUUU
rnacentral:rRNA from 1 species